AUGAUAUUUCUCUGCUCUUUGUUUCUUCUAUUUGCCGUGGAGAGUGGUUUUACUCAAAAGAUAGAACCUGUGAAGCCUGAAGAACAUGCCUUGGAGGGUGAAAAUGUUACUCUCUCUUGCAAAUACAGUGAUGCUUCUGGGUAUUAUUUACACUGGUACAGACAAUAUCCCAGAACUGCACCACAAUUCCUCCUCAUGGUUCUUGAGGCGAAUGCUCUACAGGCAUCAGCUAAAGUGAAUGAUGAGAAAAACAGAGUGGAUCUGGAGAUCUCCUCUGCUAAAGUAACAGACUCUGCCGUGUACUAUUGUGCUGUGAGGCCCACAGUGACAGGAAAUCUGAAUUUCCUCUACAAAAACCUUUUGUCAAUCAUAACUUAA